UUGUAACAUAUACAUAUUCAAGUUACUGAUGUUCAACUACUGUGAAGAGAAAGAAAGGGAAGAGGAAGAGAGAGAAGAAGGGGUUUUGAGACAGAGAAAGAGAGAGAGAGAGAGAAAGACUGAAUGAUCUUUUAUCCAGAAAAGAGAAUGAGGUAGAGACAUGAAUCAUCUGUUCUCCCAAUAGGAAUCAGGCAUCAAAUGCCUUUUGUGAUGAAUAUCUUGUUGUGUUGAGUGUGUAACUCUCACAUUUAGAGAUAUGCACCUCUCACACCAUGCAGCAUCUGAGUGCAAAUACUAUACUUCACUUUCUCUGACAUUCAACCAAAGCCAAGGUGACUCACAUCAACACUGGUGGUUUAAGGGCCAAGCAAGGGAAAUUUGGAUUACACCUGAUUUCCAAUUACUUGCUUACUGCAGAAUGUAAGCCCUCAAUAAAAUGUAAACUGAUUGAAUAUGGUUUAGGUUUUAAAAAAUAUUUCAUAGCAGUGACAAAAUAAGUAAUCAAGACAAAUAAAUGAAUGCAACAUUUCUAUCCAAAUUCUUCCCUGUCCCACCAAAUUUUGCUUAAUGUUGUCCAGGUGAUGUGGUGGAUUCUGCAGGAUUCACAUGACCCAACUCUCAAAUCACUCAUACCCAGGAUGUGUUGUCAACAGUCUGUUUUUGCAAAUAACCUGCCUCUUGUAUCCUUUAGUAGGGAAGGUGAUGGACUGAAUGCGGUAAGCUGCCAGAAUGAAACAAGAAAAUCUUCUUCCCAGGUCUCUCCCUCCCUGCGAACAUGAGCUCACUCAGGCUCGUGAGCCCUCAGUCUCAUCUACGGUUUCCAACUAAGCUGUAGCACUCUGAUGUGGGAGGUUGCGAUGGACUCUUCAUCUAGAAAUCAGACAUGAUCUUUGCCGAAUUCUCAUCUUUAAUCCUCCAAUGGCAACAAUGUGACAAAUGAACUGGGGUGCAGCAAGUGGAUGCCAGGUGACCAAUUAGCAAGCAACUGAAGUCUCAGAAGCAAGAGAUAAUGGUAAGAUGCAUGUUUUACUUCUUGUCAGUUUGUCUCUAAUGUAGGGGAUGAACUGGAUGGAAAUGUUUCAGCAGCUGCAUAUUCAACUCCUCUGGUCCUACUGCAAAACUUGGGGCUUUCCAGCCUUUUGGGGAGGCCAGUCGUUUCUAGGUGCUGAGGAUGGACCGUGAGUGGAGGAAGAGGACAUUUCUCCAAUAUAUGACAUAACUGAUUGGCCAGGGAAUUCAAGGUCCCACAAAGUAGAAUGCUGCAGUGUUUAUUAUCUACUGUGCAGUUAGUUUUACAUAAUAAACAACUCUUAAUAUACAAGUAUUUCAGAUGAUUAACAGUAAUUCAAACCGCUUUCACAAAUCCUCUAUGAUUGCUUUUCACCGUGGGUAAUCACCCUCCAAUCCCUCCUCUGGAAAGUUAUUUUGUUCUUGAAUAACUGAAAAAUUUACUCUAUAUCUGUAAAUAGUCUAUACUUCCAUGAAUCGCCAUGAAAGCCUAAGGCAGGAAAAUGAUUCUGUAUGCGUGUAUGCACAUGUAGCUUCAAAUUUGUUUUUAAUAAAACAAUACUUUUUAUUGAAACAAAAAUGUGUAAAUGGC